AGCUUGCAUCAUGAUUUACAUUUGAGUGAGUGGCGAACUGGUGAGUAACACGUGGGAAACCUGCCCAGAAGCGGGGGAUAACACCUGGAAACAGAUGCUAAUACCGCAUAACAACUUGGACCGCAUGGUCCGAGCUUGAAAGAUGGCUUCGGCUAUCACUUUUGGAUGGUCCCGCGGCGUAUUAGCUAGAUGGUGGGGUAACGGCUCACCAUGGCAAUGAUACGUAGCCGACCUGAGAGGGUAAUCGGCCACAUUGGGACUGAGACACGGCCCAAACUCCUACGGGAGGCAGCAGUAGGGAAUCUUCCACAAUGGACGAAAGUCUGAUGGAGCAACGCCGCGUGAGUGAAGAAGGGUUUCGGCUCGUAAAACUCUGUUGUUAAAGAAGAACAUAUCUGAGAGUAACUGUUCAGGUAUUGACGGUAUUUAACCAGAAAGCCACGGCUAACUACGUGCCAGCAGCCGCGGUAAUACGUAGGUGGCAAGCGUUGUCCGGAUUUAUUGGGCGUAAAGCGAGCGCAGGCGGUUUUUUAAGUCUGAUGUGAAAGCCUUCGGCUCAACCGAAGAAGUGCAUCGGAAACUGGGAAACUUGAGUGCAGAAGAGGACAGUGGAACUCCAUGUGUAGCGGUGAAAUGCGUAGAUAUAUGGAAGAACACCAGUGGCGAAGGCGGCUGUCUGGUCUGUAACUGACGCUGAGGCUCGAAAGUAUGGGUAGCAAACAGGAUUAGAUACCCUGGUAGUCCAUACCGUAAACGAUGAAUGCUAAGUGUUGGAGGGUUUCCGCCCUUCAGUGCUGCAGCUAACGCAUUAAGCAUUCCGCCUGGGGAGUACGGCCGCAAGGCUGAAACUCAAAGGAAUUGACGGGGGCCCGCACAAGCGGUGGAGCAUGUGGUUUAAUUCGAAGCUACGCGAAGAACCUUACCAGGUCUUGACAUACUAUGCAAAUCUAAGAGAUUAGACGUUCCCUUCGGGGACAUGGAUACAGGUGGUGCAUGGUUGUCGUCAGCUCGUGUCGUGAGAUGUUGGGUUAAGUCCCGCAACGAGCGCAACCCUUAUUAUCAGUUGCCAGCAUUAAGUUGGGCACUCUGGUGAGACUGCCGGUGACAAACCGGAGGAAGGUGGGGAUGACGUCAAAUCAUCAUGCCCCUUAUGACCUGGGCUACACACGUGCUACAAUGGAUGGUACAACGAGUUGCGAACUCGCGAGAGUAAGCUAAUCUCUUAAAGCCAUUCUCAGUUCGGAUUGUAGGCUGCAACUCGCCUACAUGAAGUCGGAAUCGCUAGUAAUCGCGGAUCAGCAUGCCGCGGUGAAUACGUUCCCGGGCCUUGUACACACCGCCCGUCACACCAUGAGAGUUUGUAACAG
rnacentral:rRNA from 1 species